UAGGUGGACAGGUAGAGCAUACCAAGGCGAGUGGGAUAACUAUGGUUAAGGAACUCGGCAAAUUGCCUCCGUAACUUCGGGAGAAGGAGGACCCCAGUAGCGUGAUGAGACUUGCUCUCUGAGCGUGAAGGGGUGGCACAAAAUUGAGGGAAGCGACUGUUUACCAAAAACACAGCAGCGUGCUAAGCCGUAAGGCGCUGUAUACGCUGUGACUCCUGCCCGGUGCUGGAAGGUUACGGGGAUGGGUUAGUCCUUCGGGACGAAGCUCUGAACCUAAGCCCCAGUAAACGGCGGCCGUAACUAUAACGGUCCUAAGGUAGCGAAAUUCCUUGUCGGGUAAGUUCCGACCUGCACGAAUGGAGUAACGACUUCCCUACUGUCUCAACCAUAGACCCAGCGAAAUUGAAGUACGAGUAAAGAUGCUCGUUAGCUGCAGAAGGACGGAAAGACCCCGUGGACCUUUACUAUAACUUGAUGUUGUGUUUUGUCAUAUGUUGUGUAGGAUAGGUGGGAGACUUGGAAGCAUGGACGCUAGUCUGUGUGGAGUCAUCGUUGAAAUACCACCCUGCAUAUGGUGAGGCUCUAACCUAGACCCGUUAUCCGGGUUGGGGACAGCGUCAGGCGGGUAGUUUAACUGGGGCGGUUGCCUCCUAAAGAGUAACGGAGGCGCCCAAAGGUUCCCUCAGCCUGGUUGGCAAUCAGGCGUUGAGUGCAAUGGCAAAAGGGAGCUUGACUGCGAGACCUACAAGUCGAGCAGGAGCGAAAGCUGGGCAUAGUGAUCCGGCGGUUGCGUGUGGAAGCGCCGUCGCUCAACGGAUAAAAGGUACCCCGGGGAUAACAGGCUAAUCUUGCCCAAGCGUCCAUAGCGACGGCAAGGUUUGGCACCUCGAUGUCGGCUCAUCGCAUCCUGGGGCUGAAGCAGGUCCCAAGGGUUGGGCUGUUCGCCCAUUAAAGCGGUACGCGAGCUGGGUUCAGAACGUCGUGAGACAGUUCGGUCCCUAUCCUCUGCAGCCGGAGGUGAAUUGAGGAAAGCUGUCCCUAGUACGAGAGGACCGGGACGGACGCAGCUCUCGUGUGCCAGUUGUCCUGCCAAGGGCAUGGCUGGUUAGCGACCUGCGGAAAGGAUGACCGCUGAAAGCAUCUAAGCGGGAAGCCUCUUCCAAGAUGAAUUCACCCACAGGGUUAACCUGGUAAGGCCCGUGGUAGACCACCACGUUGAUAGGCCGGAAGUGUAAGCGUGGCAACACGUUCAGCUGACCGGUACUAAUCGGC
rnacentral:rRNA from 1 species